UUGGGAAUCUUGGACAAUGGGGGAAACCCUGAUCCAGCCAUGCCGCGUGAGUGAUGAAGGCCUUCGGGUUGUAAAACUCUUUCGACGGGGACGAUAAUGACGGUACCCGUAGAAGAAGCUCCGGCUAACUUCGUGCCAGCAGCCGCGGUAAUACGAAGGGGGCUAGCGUUGUUCGGAAUUACUGGGCGUAAAGCGCGCGCAGGCGGUUUUCCAAGUCAGUGGUGAAAGCCCGGAGCUCAACUCCGGAACUGCCAUUGAAACUGUUGAACUUGAGGACGAGAGAGGUGAGUGGAAUUCCCAGUGUAGAGGUGAAAUUCGUAGAUAUUGGGAAGAACACCAGUGGAGAAGGCGGCUCACUGGCUCGUUUCUGACGCUCAGGCGCGAUAGCGUGGGGAUCAAACA
rnacentral:rRNA from 1 species